rnacentral:lncRNA from 1 species
UCACUCUGGAUCUCCCAAGAGCUGGUGGCUGGUGCCCCACCGCACCUGCCUGGAUUCAGCUUUUUUUUUUUUAGAGAGGAAGAUUGGCCCUGAGCUAACAUCUGUUGUCACUCUUCCUCUAUUUUGUAUGUAGGAUGCCACCACAGCAUGGCUUGAUGAGAGGUGUGUAAGUUCACGCCUGGGAUCCGAGCUGGCAAACCCCAGGCCACCAAAGCCGAGCACACAAACUUAACCACUAGGCCACCGCCACCGUAGUGGAUUCAGCUUUUCAUCUAUUCCCAACCCUUCUCGCUGGGCACCACUGGCCCCUGUGCAAACGAAAGCCUUAAAAGUUUUUGUCCUUUUUUUUUUCUUUUGCCUUCACUUGGAAACACAGUGUUGGAUUGACUCUGAGCCUAGUAAGCAGAGGCAUUCUCGUUUAAAUCAUCUCUCAGGUGGCAAGGCGAAGUUUUGGCCCGCAGUCCAACCCCUGACCCUUCAGGUACAGCGCACAUGAUGGAAAGGCUCAUCUAAACAACAGGACGUCUCAGCUGCCCUGAGCGAACUGUGACUCCAGCUCAUUCCCCUCCAGCGCAUCCCGGGCCCGCAGUAGGCAGGGUCCC